rnacentral:tRNA from 1 species
UCCCUUGUAGCUCAGUUGGUAAAGAAUCUGCCUGUAGUACAGGAGACCCAGGUUCGAUCCCUGGGUUGGGAA